CCUCGGCCUCCCAAAGUGCUUAGAUUAUAGGCAUGAGCCACUGCGUCCAGUGCCAGCCUACAUUAAUUUAAAGAUGAAAGAAGGGGUAAGUGCAACAAGCACCCAGAUGAGAGUAAGAAAAUGAGUUCAAGCCUGGAUUCUGCCAUUUUUCUGUGGGUCCUCAACAUAUCUCAAUUACUACACUUGAAAAAGGAUUGGGCUAAAAUAAUCCAAAAGAACCUCUGAAAGACCCUUCUGGUUCUUAAAAUGCUAUGACUCUAUUCUAUUCAAAUUCUAAUCCAUGUAAUUGUACUUCCCUCUUCCCAUGGAAUCCUAACAUAAACAUCAUAAAUUAUGAUAAAAUUGGUAUGCAAAAUUGUGUUUAUCUGACAAGCUUUGGUACCAAGAAAUUGCAAUAAGAUUCCCACCCUGAGAGCAUCAAGAUAUUGCUCAAUAUUUUCUUUUCUCUCUUUUUUUUAAAUAGGUUUAUUUAUUUAUUUAUUUAUUUGAGACAGAGUCUCACUCUGUCACCCAGGCUGGAGUGCAGUGGCACAAUCUUGGCUCACUGCAACCUCCGCCUCCAUGGGUUCAAGCGAUCCUUCCCUCUCAGCCUCCCGAGUAGCUGGGACUACAGGUGUGCACUACCAGGCCCAGCUAAUUUUGUAUUUUUUGUAGAGAUGAGGUUUUACCAUGUCACCCAAGCUGGUCUCGAACUCCUGAGGUCAAGCGAUCCACCCACCUCGGCCUCCCAAAGUUUUGGGAUUACAAGUGUGAGCCACAGCAUCCCGACCCUAUAUUUUCUUCUAAAAGUUGUAAAGUUUUAUAAUAUUUUUCUAUAGAAAGUCUUACAACCUAUUGUUAGUUUUAUUACUCAGUACCACAUCAGUUUUUAUUGUUUCGCUCUGUGAAGAUUUUUGUUGUUGCUGUUGCUUGCCUUACCUUAAAAUGUAUUUAUUUCCUUUCUGUAAGAGAUAAAAUAAAAAUAAGAAUAAAAAUUUUAAAAAAGUAUUUAUUGAUGCUGGGCAUGGUGACUCACACUUGUAAUCCCAGCACUUUGGGAGGCUGAAGCAGGAGAAUCAUUUGAGGCCAGGAGUUCAAGACCAGCCUGGAUAACACAGGGAGACCCCGUCUCUCCAAAAGUAUAAAGUAAAACAUUAGCCAGGCACAAUGGCAUGUGCCUGUAGUCCCAGCCUACUCUCUCAGGCUGAGGUGGGAGAACUGCUUGACCCCAGGAGGUUGAGGUUGCUGUGAGGUAAGAUUGUUCCACUGCAGGCCAGGUGUGGUGGCUCGCGCCUGUAAUCCCAGCACUUCGGGAGGCCGAGGCAAGUGGAUCACCUGAGGUCAGGAGUUUGAGACCAGCCUGACCAACAUGGAGAAACACUGUCUCCACCAAAAAUAAAAAAUUAGCCGGGCGUGGUGGUACAUGCCUGUAAUCCCGGCUACUCGGGAGGCUGUGGCAAGAGAAUCACUUGAACCAGGGAGGUGGAGGUUGCAGUGAGCUGAGAUCACACCAUCGUACUCCAGCCUGGGCAAGAAGAGCGAAAAUCUGUCUCAAAAAAAAAAUUGUUCCACUGCAGUACUGUCUGGGCAACAGAGUGAGACCCUGUCUCAAAAAAAAAACAAAGUGUGGCCAGGCGUGGUUGCUCACGCCUGUAAUCCCAGCACUUUGGGAGGCUGAGAUGGGCAGAUCACAAGGUCAAAAGAUCAAGACCAUCCUGUCAACAUGGCGAAACCCUGUCUCUACUAAAAAUACAAAAAUUAGCUGGGCCUGGUGGCGCAUGCCUGUAGUCCCAGCUACUCGGGAGGCUGAGGCAGGAGAAUCACCUGGACCCGGGAAGCAGAGGUUGCAGUGAGCUGAGAUCGCACCACUGCACUCCAGCCUGGCGACAGAACAAGACUCCAUCUCAAAAAUAAAAAAAAUAAAAAAUAAAUAAAGUGCUAGGUGGGGUGGUGCGCACGCCUGUAGUACCAGCUACUUGGGAGGCUGUGGCAGGAAGAUCACUUAAGUCCAGGAGUUCUGGGAUGUAGUGCACUACGUGGAUUAGGUGUCCAUCCACACUAGGUUCAGCAUCAAUAUGGUUAAUUCCUGGGAGCAGGGGUCCACCAGGUUGCCUAAGGAGGGGUGAACCAGCCCAGGUCAGAAAUGGAGCAGGUCAAAACUCCCGUGCUGAUCAGUAGUGGGGUCGCACCUGUGAAUAGCCACUGCACUCCAGCCUGGGCAACAUAGCGAGAACCUGUCUCUAAAAAAAAAAAAAAAAAUUUCAUUGAUCUUUUUCUGACUAUAAAAAGAAAUAAAUGAUUUAUAGUAUAAAAUUUGGAAAAGCAUAAAGGAGUAAAUGAUAACUAUGUAAUCUUACCACCCAAGGCUAGCCAUUUUUUUUUUUUUUUGGUGCAUUCUUCCAAUCCCAGUUUAUUUAUCCAUUCACUUAUUAAAGGAGAUCUCAGUUGCUUCUAGGUUUUGGCAAUUAUGAGUAAAGCUACUAUAAACAUUCGUGAGGCUGGGUGCAGUGGCUCACACCUGUAAUCCCAGCAGUUUGGGAAGCCGAGGGGGGCGGAUCACCUGAGGUCAGGAGUUCAAGACCAGCCUGGCCAACAUGGUGAAACCCCGUCUCUACUAAAAAUAUAAAAAUCAGCCCGGUGUGGUUGCGCAUGCCUAUAAUCCCAGCCACUUGGGAGGCUGAGGCAGGAGAAUCGCUUGAACCUGGGAGGCGGAGUCUGUAGUGGGCCAAGAUGGCACCACUGCACUCCAGCCUGGACAAAAAGAGCGAGACUCUGUCUCAAAAAAAAAAAAAAAAAAUUGUGUGCAGGUUUUUGUGUAGACAUAAUUUUCUUUCUUUCUUUUUUUAGACUGAGUUUCGCUCUUGUUGCCCAGGCUGGAGUACAAUGGCAUGAUCUUGGCUCACUGCAACCUCUGCCUCCUGGGUUCAAGCGAUUCUCCUGCCUCAGCCUCCUGAGCCACUGGGAUUACAGGUACCCGCCACCAUGCCCAGCUAAUUUUUGUUAUUUUUAGCAGAGACAGGGUUUUGCCAUGUUGGCCAGGCUGCUCUUGAACUCCUGACCUCAGGUGAUCCACCUGCCUCGGCCUCCCAAAAUGCUGGGACUACAAGCGUGAGCCACCGUGCCCUGCCUGUGUAGACAUAAAUUUUUGGCUCCUCUGAGUAAAUACCAAGGAGGGCAAUUGCUGGGUCAUAUGAGAGUACGUUUAGUUUUGUAAGAAGCUGCUGAACUGUCUUCCAAAGUUCUGUACCUUUCACAUUCCCAGCAGCAAUGCAUGCGAGCUUCUAUUGUUUCACAUUCUUACUAGCACUUGGUGUUGUCAGUGUUCUGGCUUUUUUUUGUGAGAUGGAG
rnacentral:lncRNA from 10 species